UGCUGUUAUCAGAAGUGGUGCCAAAGUAUUCUAUUGAAAUUAACCAAAUGCUCAGCAAAAUAAAAUUAAUUAUUGCCAUUAACAUAGCACAGCACGUUUAAAGGACCAGUUCAGUCAAUUUUUUUUAACAUGCAGUUGUAAUGCUCACACUACCUUGGACUUGUCAGUACCUGAGGGUUUUUUUUCUUCUUCCGAAAUCUUGGUCAUUGUAAUGGGGGCAGUGCUUUGUUUACAUGUCAAAAAAACAUUUUUAUUUAUUCCCAACACCCAAAAACAUCCGAAAGGUUAUACAACAUCAGCAGACAACUAGCAAACAGCGGUACCUUUCGGGGAAAUGUUUGGAGUAGUCUUAUGCAAAAAACAUUUUUUUAAAUGUAAACAAACGCUGCCCCCAUUAGAAAAGCUCAUCCCGGAUAAUAAUCAUAUCUCGUGGCAUCACCGAGUACUGACAAGUCAAGGGUAGCGUGAGCAAUACAACAGCAUAUUGAAAUUGACUGAACUGGUCCUUUAAGCCUACUUGCCCAAGAAUAUGGCAAUAAGAGUACUUUCAUCUGUGUGACAGUGACCUAUACAUAUUCUAGAUAUUGUGCUAUCCUGCAGUUAUGUUAUGCCCAUUCACUUUCAUUUGAUUUUUAAGUGAAAACGAAAGGAUGUACGUGGUCUACACUUCUGUACACAGACUCGUGUGCACAAACAAAUCUCAAGACAACCGAUCACAAGUUAUCUGUAAUUGCCAAAAGCGUCUUGGGAAAGACAGCGGGCAGAAGUGAUCGUCUGUUUUUAACCCCUUAAGACGCGGCUUUAUACAUUUGUUGUUACCAGUAUGGUAAUGACCAAGUCGUGGUGCAUUACUAAAGGGCCUGUGUUGUGUCAUGGUAUUGUAGUGCUAUGGUAGUUACAUUUCAAUGACUAUUACAGCGUGCCUCUGGAGGUACGGCGCGCAUUAAGGGGCUACAUACAGCUGAUAUAAACUGUCCUGACCUUAACCUUAACGGAGCACAGUGGAAGUUGUCUAAACUAUAUUUCUCAACCUAACCUUUAACUGUCAGUUGCUUUGGUUAAAAGCGUCAGUAAAUGUAAUGUAAUGUAAUCUCUCCCCCACUUUCAGUUGCUGUUGAAUGACCGUGCUGACCUCCAAGCUGAGCUAUGGCAAGGCAGUGAACACAUCAGUGGUUUUGGACCAACCAGCUCUCCAGCUGCAUCACUGAAUUGGUGGAACUGCACAAACUACAAGUCUGCUGUGCCUCAUGCAUACUCCCGGUCGACCACAGUGCAAGAUUUAACUACUUAUAACAAGGGACAACAUGGCAUCCCCCACAUCCUU